AAGUAAAAGUCGUAACAAGGUAUCUGUAGGUGAACCUGCAGAUGGAUCAUUUC
rnacentral:rRNA from 1 species